UACGAAGGGGCUAGCGUUGCUCGGAAUCACUGGGCGUAAAGGGUGCGUAGGCGGGUCUUUAAGUCAGGGGUGAAAUCCUGGAGCUCAACUCCAGAACUGCCUUUGAUACUGAAGAUCUCGAGUUCGGGAGAGGUGAGUGGAACUGCGAGUGUAGAGGUGAAAUUCGUAGAUAUUCGCAAGAACACCAGUGGCGAAGGCGGCUCACUGGCCCGAUACUGACGCUGAGGCACGAAAGCGUGGGGAGCAAACAGG
rnacentral:rRNA from 1 species